rnacentral:snRNA from 1 species
GGUUGUGAGGGUGAUCUGGCUGUGACACCCGUCGUCCCAUUGAUCCCCAGGGUUCAUUCUGCUGACGUGCUGGCUGGGCGGGUGUCCCCUUCCUCCUCUGUGAUCCGUUUGCAUUCCUCCGAAGCUGUGUGUUGGGCCAAAGAGGACAAUCACCCACCAUAGAGUAGGGGAUGACAGUUAAUCAGCCGAUGGUAUCCGAGUAGCUGCACUCCCUUGCUAGAACCUCCAAACAAGCUCUCAAGAGAAAUAGUACAAGAAGGCGCCGGGGAGAUGGCUCAGGAGGAUAAGCGCUUGACUGGCAAACACAAGGAUCUGAGUUCAAUCCCCGGUU